rnacentral:rRNA from 1 species
UACGUAGGGUGCAAGCGUUGUCCGGAAUUAUUGGGCGUAAAGAGCUCGUAGGCGGUUUGUUGCGUCGGCUGUGAAAUCCCGAGGCUCAACCUCGGGUCUGCAGUCGAUACGAGCAAACUAGAGUGUUGCAGGGGAGACUGGAAUUCCUGGUGUAGCGGUGAAAUGCGCAGAUAUCGAGAGGAACACCUGCGGCGAAGGCGGGUUGCUGGGCUGAUACUGACGCUGAGGCGCGAAAGCCAGGGGAGCAAACGGG